CGAACGAUGAUGCCCAGCUUGCUGGGCGGAUUAGUGGCGAACGGGUGAGUAAUACGUGAGUAACCUGCCCUUGACUCUGGGAUAAGCCUGGGAAACUGGGUCUAAUACUGGAUACUACCUCUUACCGCAUGGUGGGUGGUGGAAAGGGUUUUACUGGUUUUGGAUGGGCUCACGGCCUAUCAGCUUGUUGGUGGGGUAAUGGCUCACCAAGGCGACGACGGGUAGCCGGCCUGAGAGGGUGACCGGCCACACUGGGACUGAGACACGGCCCAGACUCCUACGGGAGGCAGCAGUGGGGAAUAUUGCACAAUGGGCGGAAGCCUGAUGCAGCGACGCCGCGUGAGGGAUGACGGCCUUCGGGUUGUAAACCUCUUUCAGUAGGGAAGAAGCGAGAGUGACGGUACCUGCAGAAGAAGCGCCGGCUAACUACGUGCCAGCAGCCGCGGUAAUACGUAGGGCGCAAGCGUUGUCCGGAAUUAUUGGGCGUAAAGAGCUCGUAGGCGGUUUGUCGCGUCUGCUGUGAAAGCCCGGGGCUCAACCCCGGGUCUGCAGUGGGUACGGGCAGACUAGAGUGCAGUAGGGGAGACUGGAAUUCCUGGUGUAGCGGUGAAAUGCGCAGAUAUCAGGAGGAACACCGAUGGCGAAGGCAGGUCUCUGGGCUGUUACUGACGCUGAGGAGCGAAAGCAUGGGGAGCGAACAGGAUUAGAUACCCUGGUAGUCCAUGCCGUAAACGUUGGGCACUAGGUGUGGGGGACAUUCCACGUUUUCCGCGCCGUAGCUAACGCAUUAAGUGCCCCUCCUGGGGAGUACGGCCGCAAGGCUAAAACUCAAUGAAUUU
rnacentral:rRNA from 1 species